UACAUACUCCCUUCGUCCGAAAAUAUUUGUCAUAAUAAUGAACGUAUCUAGUUGUAUUUUAGUUUUAGAUACAUUCAUUUUUAUUCAUUUAUGCGACAAGUAAUUUCGAACGGAGGGAGUAUUUC
rfam:Hordeum vulgare subsp. vulgare, WGS project CAJW01000000 data, contig: morex_contig_56979